UGCCAAACCACACUUGAGGAGA
rnacentral:misc_RNA from 1 species